rfam:Brassica oleracea var. oleracea cultivar TO1000 chromosome C3, whole genome shotgun sequence
GGAAUAUAAGAACUUGUAUCUUAACUUUUAACUAAAAAAGUUAAGAAUCGGCUCAUAAAUAAGAGUUUUAAGAGACGGUUCUUAGUUUUUUAGUUAAAAGUUAAGAGACAGGUUUUUAUAUUCC